GUCAUUAGUUGCCAUCAUUAAGUUGGGCACUCUAAUGAGACUGCCGGUGACAAGCCGGAGGAAGGUGGGGAUGACGUCAAGUCCUCAUGGCCCUUAUGACCAGGGCUUCACACGUCAUACAAUGGUCGGUACAGAGGGUAGCCAAGCCGCGAGGUGGAGCCAAUCUCACAAAACCGAUCGUAGUCCGGAUUGCACUCUGCAACUCGAGUGCAUGAAGUCGGAAUCGCUAGUAAUCGCAGGUCAGCAUACUGCGGUGAAUACGUUCCCGGGUCUUGUACACACCGCCCGUCACACCAUGGGAGUGGGGGAUACCAGAAGUAGGUAGGGUAACCGCAAGGAGCCCGCUUACCACGGUAUGCUUCAUGACUGGGGUGANGUCGUAACAAGGU
rnacentral:rRNA from 1 species